rnacentral:misc_RNA from 1 species
GCUGACUAUGUGAUCUUAUUAAAAUUAGGUUAAAUUUCGAGGUUAAAAAUAGUUUUAAUAUUGCUAUAGUCUUAGAGGUCUUGCGAAAGCUUACCACACAAGAUGGACCGGAGCGAAAGCUCCAAUAUCUAGUGUACCCUCG